UACGGAGGGUGCAAACGUUGUUCGGAAUUAUUGGGCGUAAAGAGCAUGUAGGCGGUCUGUCAAGUCUGAUGUGAAAGCCCGGGGCUCAACCCCGGAAGUGCAUUGGAAACUGGCAGACUUGAGUACGGGAGAGGAAAGUGGAAUUUCGAGUGUAGGGGUGAAAUCCGUAGAUAUUCGAAGGAACACCAGUGGCGAAGGCGGCUUUCUGGACCGAUACUGACGCUGAGAUGCGAAAGCGUGGGGAGCAAACAGG
rnacentral:ncRNA from 2 species